rnacentral:rRNA from 1 species
GACGAACGCUGGCGGCGUGCUUAAUACAUGCAAGUCAACUGAACUUGAGGUAGCAAUAUCACAAGAGAGGUGGCGCACGGGUGAGUAACACGUAGGUAAUCUGCCUUUAGGUCUGGCAUAAUUCCGCGAAAGCGGGACUAAUAUCAGAUGAUGCAGCGGCUCGACAUCGAGACAGUUGUUAAAACCUUCGGGGCCGUAAAGAAUGAGCCUGCGUCUGAUUAGGUAGUUGGCGGAGUAAAAGACCCACCAAGCCUGCGAUCAGUAGCUGGUCUGAGAGGAUGAUCAGCCACACUGGAACUGAGACACGGUCCAGACUCCUACGGGAGGCAGCAGUAAGGAAUAUUGCUCAAU